UUAGAAAUAGUCUUCUGUGUCUUCUCAAUAAUAUUUUUAUUAAUUUCUUACUUUUAGCUAAACAAUAUAUAUCUUUUACAAUUAGAAAUAUUCUUCUGUGUCUUCUUUAACCUCUUCUUUACAUAUUGUACUUUUCAUUACCUAAUAAGCCUCUUAAAGUUUGUGACUUUGUUUAAGAUACCUAAAAUACGUUGAAGAAUAAACUCCAGAUCUUCCAUGUUUGAUGGCUAUGCAAGCACAAAUUGUCUAAUAAUUCUGAGGACCUACAAAAAAAUAAUCUGCUACAGUAGUUGAAGCCUCUUCUCUGGGGCCUAUCAUGAGUUAAACAAUAUUUUGAGCACACUGGCUCGUGGAGAUGUAUUGAUGAUAAGAAGCAUUAGCCUUUAGAGGGGGAUUUUCAAAAAGUGGUGUAGGGAAUUCAUGAAAAUAUAGGUUUUUAGCUGUGAGGGUCAAUACUCAAAAUCAUGGACACAAAACUUAGCCUGACGAAUAUGAGUGGUUGCUCCAACAUAGUGUACCGGGAUAUUAUAUGAGGAGAUAAGCCUAGGAAGGUGGAGAAGCUGGUUGAGAUGACCUUGUGCUGAAAGUGGCACCAUUAAGAUAACCACUUGUGCAUCUUGAACACCAUUUUGGUCAUGGCUUUUUGUGUGGUAGUUCUUAGCCAUUGGGAAGGUAUAGAAUUUUUGCAGUUUUAUGAGUGUCUGAAGCUUCCGAAGUGUCUUGAAUAAUAUGCAGGUGAAAACGUAGAUGCUCUUAUAAGGAUUAUGUCUAAUGCAUGAAUCUAAUGACUAGUACUUGCUGGCGGGCUGCUAAAAUUAUAUUCACAUAAUUUCACUUCUCUUAUUUUACAGGUUGAUGCAAAGUAUACUACUUAAUUAAUUCAGUCACAAUCAGUUUUCUUUAUUUUUUUCCCUAUAUAAAACCACCAAUUAGUGGCUAUAGAAAAAAAAGUAUAACCUCAAUUCUCUAUGCAAUGAAUUUGUGUCGGAAAAAAGUGUUGUAUGCUCACAAUUCAAAUAUAUCAUAGUAUAUAUUUAUAGCCAGCUUCUUAAUUUUCUGUUCGAGAACUCUUGUGCCAAAGGAGACUGAAGAGUCAAGAUUGAAUUGAUUACAAACCUUUUCCACAUGUUGUUGGACAGGCUCUUCACAAUAGGUCAUACAGUUUGAUAUUCGAUAAUUUAGCAGGUGGACAAUUUCAAAAUGAUGAAAAGUUGCGGAAAUCAUUUGAAUACCAUCAUUCGCCUGGAUUAGUUAUAUAAUGACAUUAGCUAUUUAGUUCAAAGUUCACACAAUAUAGUUUAGUUAAUAUGACAUCAAUAUUUUUGAUUA